rnacentral:lncRNA from 1 species
GGUCCUUUUGCUUUCAGGUUGAAGUACCCAGCAGGAUUUAGGCCAAAUCGGAAGUACCUUGAGGAGGUUGUCAGGUGGCAAAAGAUGGCAUUUCCUUCACCUUAUUUGUGUUAGCAAUAAUCCUGUGCAUGCAUGUACAUGUCCAGGUUCAGACUUCAGAAUGUCCAGGUGCAGCCUUUAGUGUAAGCAGAUUUUCAGCUAGCAGAUUAGGGAGGAUAAUAGGCAAUCAUAGCAGUAAUGCCGGCAGUAACCAGGUGGUUUAAGUUAGUCCUUAUUGUAGCAUGUAUCCAGCUAUACAUAACAAGAAAAAAAAAUCAGAAAAGCAGCAAGCAAUUGCAGCACCGAUGACUACUGUG